rnacentral:rRNA from 1 species
CCUACGGGAGGCUGCAGUGAGGAAUAUUGGUCAAUGGACGAGAGUCUGAACCAGCCAAGUAGCGUGAAGGAUGACUGCCCUAUGGGUUGUAAACUUCUUUUAUAUGGGAAUAAAAUGUUCCACGUGUGGGAUUUUGUAUGUACCAUAUGAAUAAGGAUCGGCUAACUCCGUGCCAGCAGCCGCGGUAAUCCGGAGGAUCCGAGCGUUAUCCGGAUUUAUUGGGUUUAAAGGGAGCGUAGGUGGAUUGUUAAGUCAGUUGUGAAAGUUUGCGGCUCAACCGUAAAAUUGCAGUUGAAACUGGCAGUCUUGAGUACAGUAGAGGUGGGCGGAAUUCGUGGUGUAGCGGUGAAAUGCUUAGAUAUCACGAAGAACUCCGAUUGCGAAGGCAGUUCACUGGACUGCAACCGACACUGAGGCUCGAAAGUGUGGGUAUCAAACAGGAUUAGAUACCCUUGUAGUC